GCCUUUAUAGCUCAGUGGUAGAGCGUCGGUCUCGUAAACCGAAGGUCGAGAAUUCAAUCCUCUCUGAAGGCA
rnacentral:tRNA from 1 species